rnacentral:rRNA from 1 species
UACGUAGGGGGCGAGCGUUGUCCGGAAUUAUUGGGCGUAAAGAGCUCGUAGGCGGUUCGGCAAGUCACGUGUGAAAUCUCCACGCUCAACGUGGAGGCGCCACGUGAGACUGCUGUGACUCGAGUCCGGUAGGGGAGCGUGGAAUUCCCGGUGUAGCGGUGAAAUGCGCAGAGAUCGGGAGGAACACCCGUAGCGAAGGCGGCGCUCUGGGUCGAUACUGACGCUGAGGUGCGAAAGCGUGGGGAGCAAACAGG